UGGGUAUUGGCAUCCUUGAAGGGCUUUCACU
rnacentral:piRNA from 1 species